rnacentral:misc_RNA from 1 species
GAUGAAGAACGUAGCGAAAUGCGAUACUUGGUGUGAAUUGCAGAAUCCCGUGAACCAUCGAGUCUUUGAACGCAAGUUGCGCCCGAAGCCACUAGGCCGAGGGCACGCCUGCCUGGGCGUCACACGUCGUUGCCCCCCCCCCAUCUACUCCUUCGGGAUUGCGGGGGGCGGAUGAUGGCCUCCCGUGCGCCUAGCCGCGCGGUUGGCAUAAAUGCCAAGUCCUCGGCGACGCACGCCACGACAAUCGGUGGUUGCGAAACCUCGGUUGCCCGUCGUGUGCGUUCGUCGCGCAUCGAGGGCUCGAAAAAAUGCUCGGCUCCGGCUCGGCUUUCAACGCGACCCCAGGUCAGGCGGGGUUACCCGCUGAAUUUAAGCAUAUCAAUAAGCGGAGGA